rnacentral:rRNA from 1 species
GACGAACGCUGGCGGCGUGCUUAACACAUGCAAGUCGAACGAUGAACCAGGGCUUGCCCUGGGGAUUAGUGGCGGACGGGUGAGUAACACGUGGGCAACCUGCCCCAGACUCCGGGAUAACCAUUCGAAAGAGUAGCUAAUACCGGAUACGACCACUUUGGGCAUCCAACGGUGGUGGAAAGGAUUCUGAUCUGGGAUGGGCCCGCGGCCUAUCAGCUUGUUGGUGGGGUAAUGGCCUACCAAGGCGACGACGGGUAGCCGGCCUGAGAGGGCGACCGGCCACACUGGGACUGAGACACGGCCCAGACUCCUACGGGAGGCAGCAGUGGGGAAUAUUGCGCAAUGGGCGAAAGCCUGACGCAGCGACGCCGCGCGAGGGACGAAGGUCUUCGGAUUGUAAACCUCUUUCAGCAGGGACGAAGCGAAAGUGACUGUACCUGCAGAAGAAGCACCGGCUAACUACGUGCCAGCCGCCGCGGUAAGAC